GGCGCCGUGGCGAAGUAGCUAACGCAUCGGUCUGCAAAACCGAGAUACAGGGGUGCAAAUCCCCUCGGCGCCU
rnacentral:tRNA from 1 species